AUUGAACGCUGGCGGCAGGCCUAACACAUGCAAGUCGAGCGGAUGAAGGGAGCUUGCUCCUGGAUUCAGCGGCGGACGGGUGAGUAAUGCCUAGGAAUCUGCCUGGUAGUGGGGGAUAACGUCCGGAAACGGGCGCUAAUACCGCAUACGUCCUGAGGGAGAAAGUGGGGGAUCUUCGGACCUCACGCUAUCAGAUGAGCCUAGGUCGGAUGAGCUAGUUGGUGGGGUAAAGGCCUACCAAGGCGACGAUCCGUAACUGGUCUGAGAGGAUGAUCAGUCACACUGGAACUGAGACACGGUCCAGACUCCUACGGGAGGCAGCAGUGGGGAAUAUUGGACAAUGGGCGAAAGCCUGAUACAGCCAUGCCGCGUGUGUGAAGAAGGUCUUCGGAUUGUAAAGCACUUUAAGUUGGGAGGAAGGGCAGUAAGUUAAUACCUUGCUGUUUUGACGUUACCAACAGAAUAAGCACCGGCUAACUUCGUG
rnacentral:rRNA from 1 species